AUAGACUUAAGGGAGUGGGACAGAAAUAAUAUUUUCCAAAAUUUAUUUCGUUGUAACCCCAGCUUGCUUAGCCUGUAGAAUUUCUUUAAAAAAUUCUCUUUGUUGAGGCCUCGCCCACCAGGCAAGGUUGAUUAGAAUUAAAAAAAGCUUGUUAAAAGCGCAUUUUUAAAUCGGUCAACUUCUGCCAAUAUAUAUUUAUAGCCUGAGUCAUUGAAUUAU
rnacentral:ncRNA from 1 species